AUCGAAUUGAACCGUGCAGACUCCUAGUUGUCACCUAACAUGCGGAGGAAAAGAAAUAAAGGAAAACUAGCAGAAAAAAGAAAUGCCUCAACGUGAAUCAAGCUGAAUAGAAUUGGUGUCAGAGAUCUGCUACUGAACCGUACCCUAAGUUCUUCGUACUUCCAAUUUUAAUUUUAUUUGGAACUUUUUGUUCAUCAUCUCAGCUGCAGAUCGAUCUCCAUUUGUUCUUGGACGACUUAUUUCUGUGUAGUUUGCGCCAGACAAUAUGGGUUAUGCAUCGCAAAUUGUCAACCAUUCGAAAAAGUUAAGAGGUGCUCCAAAGUUACUUCGGCAAGCAAGUGCCGUUCGCUGGUUUUCAGAGGAUUUGCAGUCCUCUAUUGUCAAAAAAGAUGAAAUUUGGAAGAUCCAGGGCCGCGGUUACCAGUCUUCCCAAAAAGGGGCAAUUAGGAACCUUGUCAACUUUAACAACAGACCGCACUUUCUCCAAUGUAAUAGAGGUGUUUCAAUGACGACAACCAGUAUUGGGAAUCCUUUUUCUGGCAGUUCACUGACAAAAUCAAAGAGAGGUUUUUCCUCUGGCUCAGGUCUUCCCCCACAUCAAGAGAUUGGAAUGCCUUCGCUUUCCCCUACGAUGACAGAGGGCAACAUUGCAAGGUGGUUGAAAAAAGAGGGAGAUAAACUUUCUCCUGGGGAAGUGCUUUGUGAAGUUGAAACAGAUAAAGCAACAGUGGAAAUGGAAUGCAUGGAGGAAGGUUAUCUUGCUAAGAUAAUUCAUGGAGACGGAGCAAAGGAAAUUAAAGUUGGCGAGGUAAUUGCCGUUACUGUUGAAGAUGAAGAGGAUAUAGCGAAGUUUAAAGAUUAUGAACCCACUUCAUCAAGUUCUGGUGCUGGUGCUGCAGCUGCUGAGUCAUCUGCCCCUAGCUCACCCAAGAAAGAAGCAGUUGAGGAACCAGUUCGUUCACCCGAGCCAAAGACUGUUAAGCAGGGCCCUGCUUCUGAUGGAGAGCGUAUUUUUGCUAGUCCUCUGGCGAGAAAAUUAGCAGAAGAUAACAAUGUACCCAUUUCAAGUGUCAAAGGAACAGGUCCUGAUGGGAGCAUUGUAAAGGCUGACAUAGAAGAUUACUUGGCUUCACGUGGUAAGGAAUCAACCACAGCCCCCAAAGCCAAGGAUGCAGCAGGUGCACCAUUGGAUUACAGUGAUGUCCCACAUACUCAAAUAAGAAAGGUUACAGCAUCACGAUUACUGUUCUCAAAGCAAACCAUUCCUCAUUAUUAUUUAUCCGUAGAUGCAUGCGUUGACAGGCUCAUGGAUUUGAGAAACCAGCUAAAUGCAUUACAAGAAGCAUCUGGUGGAAAGAGGUUAUCUGUUAAUGAUCUUGUUAUUAAGGCUGCUGCCUUGGCUCUUAGGAAAGUCCCUCAAUGCAACAGUUCAUGGACGGACAAUUAUAUUAGACAGUAUCACAACGUGAAUAUUAAUGUUGCAGUGCAGACUGACAACGGACUCUAUGUUCCAGUUAUCAGGGACGCCGACAAGAAAGGUUUAUCUAGUAUUUCUGAGGAGGUCAAGAAAUUGGCGCAGAAAGCGAGAGAGAACACUUUAAAACCAGAAGAUUAUGAGGGAGGCACUUUUACUGUGUCCAACUUGGGAGGUCCAUUUGGCAUCAAACAAUUUUGUGCCAUUAUCAACCCUCCACAGUCGGGCAUUCUUGCUGUUGGCUCUGCCGAGAAGAGGGUCAUACCAGGAUCAGGCGCUGAAGAAUUCAAGUUUGCUUCCUUCAUGUCUGUCACGUUGAGCUGUGAUCAUCGCGUUAUUGAUGGGGCAAUUGGUGCGGAAUGGCUCAAAGCCUUCAAGGGCUACAUCGAGAAUCCUGAAUCAAUGUUGCUAUAGAUUGAUCGACUUCUCCGGUUCUCAUCAAACAAAUUAUCGUUUUGUCACAUAAGCAGUCAUAUGGAAAGAUAUGAACUCGACCUCAGCUCUCUUUUCAAAUUAUUUUCAGCUUCAGUUUUAUCCUUAGUCUCCUUUUUCGUAACCAAGGAGAUUUGAAGUUUGCAUAUAGACUACAGAAAUAAGAUCUCGCCCGGUUGUAAGUGAUCUGAUAUACGAUAUCUCAAUCGACCUGCCCCGGUUUUUGAUGAGUUGAUGCAGAGAAUCGAGCUUGAAGUUCUCCGUCGGUUUGCCUCAUUGUGACAUAAAGUUUGAUGAAUUAGAAGCCGAAAGUAUGAAGUCUUGCAAGUUGGAUGGCAGAGUUUCACUCCCCAAAGGAGAUUUUGGUGCGAAUGGGGGGCGAUGGGAUUCAUGCAUUUGAGCUACAUCAAAAUGUGUGCCAAUUAAUUUAGUUUAAAAACUAGAAGAUAAUGCUUUAAACGCCAAUCUCUCACAUUCCAAAUUUUACUCACAAAUAGAAUUUAUAUCUAAA